GCCAGCAUGGCAGAGUGGUCUAAGUGUUGGACUAGGACUCUGGAGAUCCAGGGUUCAAAUCCUUGCUUGGCC